UNCCUUCCUACUUGGAUACCUGUGGUAAUUCUAGAGCUAAUACAUGCUACAAACCCCAACUCAAGAAGGGGCGUAUUUAUUAGAUAAAAAACCAAUGCCCCUCGGGGCUCACUGGUGAUUCAUAAUAACUUAACGAAUCGCAUGGCCUUGCGCCGGCGAUGGUUCAUUCAAAUUUCUGCCCUAUCAACUUUCGAUGGUAGGAUAGUGGCCUACCAUGGUUUCUACGGGUAACGGGGAAUUAGGGUUCUAUUCCGGAGAGGGAGCCUGAGAAACGGCUACCACAUCCAAGGAAGGCAGCAGGCGCGCAAAUUACCCAAUCCCGACACGGGGAGGUAGUGACAAUAAAUACUGAUGGAGAGCUCUUUUGGGUUUUCUAGUUGGAAUGAGUACAAUUUAAAUUUCUUAACGAGGAACAAUUGGAGGGCAAGUCUGGUGCCAGCAGCCGCGGUAAUUCCAGCUCCAAUAGCGUAUAUUAAAGUUGUUGCAGUUAAAAAGCUCGUAGUUGAAACUCAGGCCUGGCUGGCCGGUCCGCCUCACCGCGAGCACUGGUUCGGCCGGGCUUUUUCCUUCUGGGGAGCCGCAUGCCCUUCACUGGGUGCGUUGGGGAACCAGGACUUUUACUUUGAAAAAAUUAGAGUGUUCAAAGCAGGCAUAUGCUCGGAUACAUUAGCAUGGAAUAAUAGAAUAGGACGUGUGGUUCUAUUUUGUUGGUUUCUAGGACCGCCGUAAUGAUUAAUAGGGAUAGUCGGGGGCAUCAGUAUUCAAUUGUCAGAGGUGAAAUUCUUGGAUUUAUUGAAGACUAACUACUGCGAAAGCAUUUGCCAAGGAUGUUUUCAUUAAUCAGUGAACGAAAGUUAGGGGAUCGAAGACGAUCAGAUACCGUCGUAGUCUUAACCAUAAACUAUGCCGACUAGGGAUCGGACGGUGUUACUAUAUUGACCCGUCCGGCACCUUACGAGAAAUCAAAGUUUUUGGGUUCUGGGGGGAGUAUGGUCGCAAGGCUGAAACUUAAAGACAUUGACGGAAGGGCACCACCAGGCGUGGAGCCUGCGGCUUAAUUUGACUCAACACGGGGAAACUCACCAGGUCCAGACACAUUAAGGAUUGACAGAUUGAGCGUUCUUUCAUGAUCAUGUGGGUGGUGGU
rnacentral:rRNA from 1 species